ensembl:lncRNA
CCAGUUCAUCCCAGUCCAUCCCAGUCCCCUCCCAGUCCAUCCCAGUUCCUCUCAUCCUGUCCCAAUUCCCUCCCAGUCCCUUCUGGUGCCACCUGAGGCACACUCCAGUGCCCCCCAGUCCCUCCCAGUGCCCCCCCAGUACCUCCCAGUCCUCCCCAGUGUUUCCCAGUGCCUCCCAGUCCCUCCCAGUUCCCACUUUGGUCUUCCUGGGCCAAGCUGUUAUAAUUAUUUGCCUCUACCUCACCUGGGUCGUGCCCCACAUCCCCCCCAGUCCAUCCCAGUCCAUCCCAGUGCUUCCCAGUCCCCUCCCAGUCCCUCCCAGUGCCCACUUCGGUCUUUCUGAGCCAAACUCUUAGAGUUACCUGCCUCUAUCUCACCUGGGUUGUGCCCCACAUCAUCCCCAGUGCCCUCCCAGUCCCUCCCAGUGGCCCCCAGUGCCCUCCCAGUGCCUCCCAGUCUCCUCCCAGUGCCUCCCAGUUCCCACCUCAGUCCUCCCAGGCCAAGCUCUUAGAGUUACCUGCCUCUAUCUCACCUGGGUUGUGCCCCACACCCUUCCCAGUGCCCUCCCAGUCCCUCCCAGUACCUCCCAGUGUCCCCCAGUGCCCUCCCAGUCCCUCCCAGUGCCCUCCCAAUCCCUCCCAGUGGCCUCCCAGUGCCCUCCCAAUCCCCUCCCAAUCCCUCCCAGUGGUCUCCAGUGCCCUCCCAGUCCUUCCCAGUACCUCCCAGUCCUUCCCAGUCCCUCCCAAUCCCCCCCAGUCCCUCCCAGCGGCCCCCAGUGCCCUCCCAUUCCCUUCCCGGUGCCCCCCAGUCCCUCCCAGUGCCCACCUUGGUCCUCCUGGGCCGCGUCGUUGUAGUUGACCUGCUUGCGGACGCGCUUGCCCUUGCCCAGGUUUCGUGCCAGGUCCUCCUGCUGCUGCUCGUAGUGGUGCCGCAGCAGCUUCUCCCAGUAGUCGGGGUCGACGUUCUCCUCCUGCUUGAUGAUCUCGCGCUCGAUCUCCUCGAUCUGUGGGCAUGGAAACGGGGGAGAGGGCGGGGGGGGUCAUGUGGGGCCAGGGCUCGCAGCGCUGCCUUCACAUCUCCAUCCCCACCCCCACUGUCCCAUCGUCCUCGUCGUCUUCGUUAUCUCCAUCCCCGCUGUCCCCAUCAUCAUCCUUGUCGUCUCUGUUAUCUUCAUCCCCACUGUCCUCAUCAUCAUCGUCGUUAUCUCCAUCCCCACCCCCGCUGUCCCCAUCACUGUCCUCAUCAUCUCCAUUAUCUCCAUCCCCACUGUCCCCUUCAUCGUCCUCAUCUCCGUUAUCUCCAUCCCCAAUGUCCCCAUCAUCAUCCUCACCGUCGUUAUCUCCAUCCCCACCCCCAAUGUCCACAUCAUCAUCCUCAUUGUCUUCGUUAUCUCCAUCCCCACUGUCCCCAUCAUCAUCCUCAUCAUCAUUGUUAUCUCCAUCCCCAUCACUGUCCCCAUCACCAUCCUCAUCAUCGUCAUUAUCUCCAUCCCCACUGUCCCCAUCAUCGUCCUCAUCGUCGUUAUCUCCAUCCCCACCCCCGCUGUCCCCAUCAUCGUCCUCGUCGUCUUCGUUAUCUCCGUCCCCACUGUCCCCAUCAUCAUCCUCACCGUCGUUAUCUCCAUCCCCACCCCCAAUGUCCUCAUCAUCAUCCUCAUUGUCUUCGUUAUCUCCAUCCCCAUCACUGUCCCCAUCAUCGUCCUCAUCAUCAUUAUCUCCAUCCCCACCCCCAAUGUCCCCAUCAUCAUCCUCAUCGUCUUUGUUAUCUCCAUCCCUACUGUCUCCAUCAUCAUCCUCCAUCAUCAUCCUCAUUGUCUUCGUUAUCUCCAUCCCCACUGUCCCCAUCACCAUCCUCAUCUUUGUUAUCUCCAUCCCAGCUGUACCCAUCAUUGUCCUCAUCACCUCCGUUAUCUCCAUCCCCAUCACUGUUCCCAUCAUCAUCCUCACCGUCUCUGUUAUCUCCAUCCCCACUGUCCUCAUCAUCAUUGUCUCCGUUAUCUCCAUCCCCAUCACUGUCCCCAUCGCCAUCCUCAUCAUCUUCAUUAUCUCCAUCCCCACUGUCCCCAUCAUCAUCCUCACCGUCGUUAUCUCCAUCCCCACCCUCAAUGUCCUCUCAUCAACCUCAUUGUCUUCGUUAUCUCCAUCCCCACUGUCCCCAUCAUUGUCCUCAUCAUCUUCGUUAUCUCCAUCCCCAGUCCUCAUCGUCUCCGUUAUCUCCAUCUGCACUGUCCCCAUCACCAUCCUCAUCGUCUUCGUUAUCUCCAUCCCCAUCAUUGUCCCCAUCAUCAUCCUCGUCAUCUCCGUUAUCUCCAUCCCCGCUGUCCCCAUCAUCAUCCUCACUGUCUUCGUUAUCUCCAUCCCAGCCAUCCCCAUCAUCGUCCUCAUCAUCGUUAUCUCCAUCCCCACCCCCACUGUCCCCAUCAUCAUCCUCGUCAUCUUUGUUAUCUCCAUCCUCAUCACUGUCCUCAUCAUCGUCCUCAUCGUCUUCGUUAUCUCCAUGCCCAUCCCCACUGUCCCCAUCGUCCUCAUCACCUCCACCUCCACCACCCCCAUGGUCCCCAUCUUCAUCACCUCCAUCCCCAUCGUCCUCAUCAUCACCUCCAUUCUCAUCAACCUCCGUCAUCUCCAUCCCCUCCCCGUCAUCCUCAUCACCUCCACCCCCAUGGUCCCCAUCUCCAUCAUUUCCAUCCCCGUUGUCCUCAUCAUCUUCAUCACCUCCACCUCCACUGCCCUCACUGUCCUCAUCAUCUCCAUCCCCAUCAUCAUCUCCAUUCUCAUCAUCUCCAUCAUCUCCAUCCCCGUUGUCCCCAUCGUCAUCACCUCCACCUCCAUUGCCCCCACUUGUCCCCAUCUUCAUCAUCUCCAUCCCCACUGACCUCAUCAUCAUCUCCAUCCCUACUGCCCACAUCAUCUUUAUCUCAUCUCUAUCCCCCCUCCAUCAUCUCCAUCAUCUCCAUCCCCCUUGUCCCCAUCUCCAUCAUUUCCAGCCCCACUGUUUUCAUCAUCUCCAUCACCUCCAUCCCCCUCCCCAUCAUCCUCACCAUCUUCAUCUCCAUCCUCAUAAUCUCCAUCAUCUCCAUCCCCAUCGUUUUCAUCAACUUCAUCACCUCCAUCCCCCUCCCCAUCAUCUUAAUCACCUCCAACCCCACUGUCCUCAUCAUCAUCUUCAUCUCCAUCCCUAUUGUCCCCAUCUCCAUCAUUUCCCUCCCCAUCAGACUCAUCAUCCUCAUCAUCUCCAUCCCCGCCAUCCUCAUCUUCAUCAUCUCCAUCCCCAUCAUCCACAUCAUCCUCAUCUCAUCUCCACCCCACCAUCCUCAUCAUCUCCAUCCCCUUCAUCCUCAUCCUCAUCUCUAUCUCCAUCACCUCCACCUACGUUGUUCCCACCAACCCCACGUCCAUCGUCCCCAUCACCUCAUCCCCACAUCCACUGUCACCGUCAUCCCCACAUCCAUCAACCCCACCAUCCCCACGUCCAUUAUCCCCACCGUCCCCACGUCCAUCGUCCCCAUCACCUCAUCCCCACGUCCAUUGUCCCCAUCGUCCCUAUGUCCAUCAUCCCCAUUGUCCCCAC